rnacentral:lncRNA from 1 species
UAAUACAUUUGCUAGUCUAAUAUUCAUGUGUGUCCUCACAUGAACUCCGGCUAGGGACAACUUUAGAAUAACCAUACAAGUAAAGAGUUUCACAUACAAUUCACAUAAUUGCAAAUCAAUUCAAGUAGCCUUCAAUGGAUAUUCAAUGAACACAACAUACAAAUCAUGGAUACAAAUGGAAUAUCAUCAUCUCUAUGAUUGCCUCUAGGGCAUACCUCCAACAGUCUCCC